AGUGAACGCUGGCGGUAGGCCUAACACAUGCAAGUCGAACGGCAGCACAGUAAGAGCUUGCUCUUACGGGUGGCGAGUGGCGGACGGGUGAGGAAUACAUCGGAAUCUACUUUUUCGUGGGGGAUAACGUAGGGAAACUUACGCUAAUACCGCAUACGACCUACGGGUGAAAGCAGGGGAUCUUCGGACCUUGCGCGAUUGAAUGAGCCGAUGUCGGAUUAGCUAGUUGGCGGGGUAAAGGCCCACCAAGGCGACGAUCCGUAGCUGGUCUGAGAGGAUGAUCAGCCCCACUGGAACUGGGACACGGUCCAGACUCCUACGGGAGGCAGCAGUGGGGAAUAUUGGACAAUGGGCGCAAGCCUGAUCCAGCCAUACCGCGUGGGUGAAGAAGGCCUUCGGGUUGUAAAGCCCUUUUGUUGGGAAAGAAAAGCAGCAGGUUAAUACCCCGCUGUUCUGACGGUACCCAAAGAAUAAGCACCGGCUAACCUCGUG
rnacentral:rRNA from 1 species